GUUCGAACUCGAAUUCGAUUUCACUCUAUCAACUUGCAAGCGGUCGGUUGGUUUGCAGCCCUAACCUGAACUAGCAAGAGAAGUUGCAUCAGAGAAACCAGUCGUCAGAGGUUAUCAAGUUGGUUUCGGAAGUAAUUAGUAAAUGAUGAAGUGAGUAUUAGAGAAGUGAAUGCCGUUCGUUCACCUUUACUCAUAAUACUUUAGCUUCUUCAUUGAGAUUGGGAUAAGCUGUGUGUCGGUGGUGCGAGCGAGCUCCCUCCCUCCCUCCUAUGGAAUAGAAUAAGCGGAUGAGCUUUUCGCCUUCACCAUUGUUGCAAGCCGUCCGGGUGCCACAUUUCCCUGCAGACCAAUCAGUAUCACCAUUUCUAUUUGUCUGAAUUUUACUUGAUGGAAAAGCUAAUCCUAAGAGUUGCUGCGUUAAUCCUUACAAGGGCAAUAACGCUGUAGGCGUUCGGACCCUUCACCAUGAUCAUGAUGUUGACGACAGCAACGACAAAGAUGACGCUGAAGUUGCGGGUGACCAUCAACUGCAAAAGGAGGAUUCUGCUAGCACUGAUUGGGAGGUGAAAUUUCUUGGGCAAAUGGGCCCUUUCCAGAACUUACCCUCUGAAAAGAGGAAAGAGCAACAGAAAUCCAGGUUGUUGCAAGAUACUGAUAAGAUGGAUUGGUGUGUGAGAGCUAGGAAGAUUGCCCUCAAAUCUAUUGAAAACAGGGGCUUGACUUCUGUCUUGAAAAAUUCUGUCAACGGUAAUAAGAAGAAGAGAAAGAAGAACAAAAAGAAAUCCAAGGUUGAGGAUGUUGUUAUUAAAGAACUGGACGAUGAUUCAGAUUUUGAUAUUCACGAGGGAGAUUUCAACAAUGUGGCUGAUCUGCAUUCUUCGGAUGAUACAAGUGACCUCAGGGAAAUGGUGAGUAUGAUGGCUGAUGGAAUGUUUCAAGAAAGAAAGGACAAAACCAUGGAAACAUUUAUUCAGAGGAUUUCUCAGUUUUCGGGGCCAUCUGAUCGUAGGAAAGAGAUUAAUUUGAAUAAACUCAUUGUUGAAGCACAGACUGCUGAGCAAGUAUUGGAAGUCACUGCUGAUAUGAUCAUGGCUGUUGUGAAAGGGCUUAGCCCUUCACCGCUUUCACCUUUGAAUAUUGCAACUGCAUUACACAGAAUUGCCAAAAACAUGGAGAAAGUGUCAAUGACAAGGGCUCGCAGAUUGGCUUUUGCUCGUCAUAAAGAGAUGUCCAUGCUCGUGGGAAUUGCAAUGACUGCAUUACCUGAAUGCUCUGCACAGGGAAUUUCAAAUAUUGCAUGGGCUUUGUCAAAGAUAGGUGGCGAGCUUCUGUAUCUCUCAGAAAUGGAUAAACUGGCAGAGGUAGCCUUGACCAAGGUUGGUGAGUUCAAUUCACAAAAUGUUGCCAACAUAGCUGGUGCUUUUGCCUCUAUGCGGCACUCUUCUCCAGAACUAUUUUUGGGUUUAGCCAGAAGAGCCUCAGAGAUAAUCGACUUAUUUCAGCCACAAGAGAUCGCUCAAUUGUUGUGGGCUUUUGCUUCUCUCUUUGAGCCUGCCGACCUUUUGCUGGAUUCUUUGGAUCAUGUUUUCAAUAAUAUCAACCAAUUCAAGUAUUCCAUGGAUGUUGUAACUAAAAAUGCUAGUCUAGAAACAGGAAGGGAAGUUAAUGGAGAAGCCACAUCUGAAAGCAAUUUAUGCAGCCCUGUCCUCAGUUUUAAUAGGGAUCAGCUUGGGAAUAUAUCUUGGUCCUAUUCUGUUUUUGGACAGAUGGAACGUGUCUUCUUUAACCAUGUUUGGAGAACGCUAAGCCAGCUUGAGGAACAAAAGAUUUCUGAGCAAUACCGGGAGGGUGUAGUGUUUGCUUCUCAAAUUCAUCUUGUGAACCUAUGUCUGAAACAUGAAUUUCCACAUCUCCAGUUGUCUCUGAAGAGUGAUUUGGAGGAGAAAGUUGCUCGAGCAGGAAGAACCAAGAGAUUUAAUCAAAAGACCACUUCCUCAUUUCAGAUGGAGGUGGCACGUCUUCUUGUUAGCACAGGCCUAGAUUGGGUCAAAGAAUAUGAGAUGGAAGGGUACACCUUGGAUGCAGUUUUGGUUGAUAUUAAAGUUGCACUUGAGAUUGAUGGUCCAACUCAUUUUUCAAGAAAUUCGGGUGUCCCACUCGGACAUACAAUGCUAAAACGCCGCUACAUUGCUGCUGCUGGUUGGAAGCUUGUGUCCGUGCCGCACCAAGAAUGGGAAGAACUUCAGGGCGAAUUCGAGCAGCUGGAUUACCUAAGAAGAAUCCUCGAUUAUCACAUUUGUAAAGAGAGAGAGCAUCACUCGGUCUGGUGAAUUGGGUUAAAGUGUGUUAAAAGGUUUCCCUGGUCGAGGACAAAUGAGUGUCACUCUUCACUUGAGUUAGCUGUUGCUGUUUCCGAGUACAGGUACAUAUGAAGAUACAAGCUCAAAGACUCUUGUCCACGGGCUCCUGCUUUUGUUAAGGAUUAAAACGACUCGUAUGGAGGCCCACAAUCUAUUUGGAUGAAAAAUCAGCUCUUGUCUCGGUCACUUGUGUCCCAGGAUGUGCCACCACCAUUUAAUCAGUAAUUACAGAAGAUUCUUGGGGCAGGAAAGUAUCUGAGUUUUUAUGCCAUGUAAAAGAAUCUUUUGCUUAGAACAAUCUUCAGAGGUAUCUCAUCGUGUUGAGGAACUUGGAAAUAACAUGAAAAGAUA